rnacentral:lncRNA from 1 species
AACCAGCAAGGCCAUAUGCUCCCCCUCCCCUACCUAAAACCCCAAAUAAAAACCCUUCCUUUUAGCUUUUUGGGGAGUUUGGGAUUUCAGCGUUAGCUGCCCUCUCUCCUUGCUCAGUGCUAUGCAAAAAUAAAAUUCCUGCUUUCUUCCACCACACCCAGUGUCAGGGAUUGGCUUGCUGCACAACGGGUGAGCGAACUCAUUUCAGGCAAGGAACCUACAUCUCAAGGACCUUUCAGUCCACUAAGUAUUUGACACACUCUUGACUUUUCUUACUGACAACGUCAUAUCCACACAUAGAGGAGAAUAUCAAGCUGAACUCUGACUUUGGGCUUAAUUCCUACCAACAAGAAUAAUAGAGUUUUUAAAAUGAAUAUGACAGCAACUUUGGAAGAAAGUUAUCUUGGAGUUUGUAAAAGUAAAAUGUUGGCAACAUAAAUAAAAGUACCCCAGACUUUAGAAUAUCAUAUGCUUAAAAAGUCAGAUAGAAUGUGAUUACAAUCUCAUGAUAAGGGUUUCUAAAAAGUAUUCAAGAGAGAUGAGAGGUUCUCGAAAUUCUUAUAAUGUAAUAAGGAAUUAGACUAAAGAGAAGUAAAAAGAAGGAGGAAUCUAAAGAAAGCCAUGUGACUACACAGGGGUCCUCUGAUGUGCCCAAAAGAUAAAAGGAGGAGAAAAAAACCAAAGGGAAAUACAGAAGAGUGGUGCCAAUUUAGGUUUCAUUUCUACAUUUUCUAAUGCCUAAUACACAACACCGCAGGAUGGAAGAAAGGCAUAGAAAAUUCAAAAGGCACCUGCUCAGUCGUCACAACAGGACAGUGAUGUGAUUGACAGAAAGACACCAACAGACACUGUUAUGGAAGAUGUAAAGUUUCUUCAAUGGCAAAGGACAUGAAAACUUAUGGAGAUACCUAUAGAAAGCAGGAGCCAAGACAUUAGACUCCCUGCUGGUGGCUGUCUGCAACCCUGGAAGAGACUUCUCACCAGAACCUGAAUCAGCCAGAAUCUUGAGCUUGAACUUCUAGCCUCUAGAACCAUGAGAAAAUAAAUGUCUGUUGUUUAAGCCAUUCAGUCUGUGGUAUUUUAUUAUGGUGCCUGAGCAGACUAGCACAAGCCGUCCGUGCGAGAGUGCCUGACCCUCUAUUAACUCACUUUGACAUUUGUUUUUCUCACUAGUGUCCACUUAUUCUUUAAGACUCUCUCCACUUCGUGCAACUUAAAAAAAUACUUUUGUGGUAUUUCUCCAUCUCACCCUAAAGUAUCAGGGAAGAGUAUUUGUCAAAUCCUUCCUUAUUUCCUAGGUCUGAGAUUGCUGAAAACAUAUACAUGUGUCCCCUUCUGGCAGUCUCAAGAUUUGUAACGUUGGAGACGCCAACCUCCCC